CCUACGGGUGGCAGCAGUGGGGAAUCUUGCGCAAUGGGCGGAAGCCUGACGCCGCGACGCCGCGUGCGGGCAGAAGGCAUUCGGGUCGUAAACCGCUUUCAGCAGGGACGAGGCCAUCACGGUGAAGGUAACUGCAGAAGAAGCCACGGCUAACUACGUGCCAGAAGCCGGGGGAAUACGUAGGGGGCGAGCGUUAUGCGGAUUCAUGGGGCGGAAAGCGCGCGUAGGCGGCCUGUUAGGUCGGGGGUCAAAUACCGGGGCUCAACCCCGGUCCGCCCCCGAUACCGGCAGGCUUGAGUCUGGUAGGGUAAGGCGGAAUUCCCAGUGUAGCGGUGGCAUGCGCAGAUAUUGGGAAGAACACCGGCGGCGAAGGCGGCCUUCUGGGCCACGACUGACGCUGAGGCGCGAAAGCUAGGGGAGCGAACAGGAUUAGAUACCCCAGUAGUC
rnacentral:rRNA from 1 species